rnacentral:rRNA from 1 species
UACGUAGGGGGCAAGCGUUGUCCGGAUUUAUUGGGCGUAAAGGGUGCGUAGGUGGCGCCGUAAGUCAGGUGUGAAAUUUCAGAGCUUAACUCCGAAACUGCAUUUGAUACUGCGGUGCUUGAGGACUGGAGAGGAGACUGGAAUUCACGGUGUAGCAGUGAAAUGCGUAGAUAUCGUGAGGAAGACCAGUGGCGAAGGCGGGUCUCUGGACAGUUCCUGACACUGAGGCACGAAGGCUAGGGGAGCAAACGGG